rnacentral:rRNA from 1 species
UCACCCAGCUCGUCAUGCUAGAGCACUUUUUCAAUGUGCUCCCCAACGAGAAGGCGAAGACGCAGUCGUAUGUCAAUCCAUAUCAACUUUCGAUGCCAUUGACUGUGCCUACCAUGGUGACCACGUGUAACGGGGAGUCAGGGUUCGAUUCCAUACAGGAACCCUGACAAACGGCUACCACAUGCAAGGAAGGCAGCAGGCGCGCAAAUGACCCACUCCCGACGCGGGAAGGUAGAGAUGA